rnacentral:rRNA from 1 species
GACGUAGGGGGCCAGCGUUGUUCGGAAUUACUGGGUGUAAAGGGUUCGUAGGCGGUGUGGCAGGUCGGGAGUGAAAUCUCUGGGCUCAACCCAGAGUCUGCUUCCGAAACUGCUGUGCUUGAGUGUGGGAGAGGCGCGUGGAAUUGCAGGUGUAGCGGUGAAAUGCGUAGAUAUCUGCAGGAACACCCGUGGCGAAAGCGGCGCGCUGGACCACUACUGACGCUGAGGAACGAAAGCUAGGGGAGCAAACAGG